rnacentral:rRNA from 1 species
AUACAGAGGGUGCAAACGUUGUUCGGAAUUACUGGGCAUAAAGCGCGCGUAGGCGGCGUGUCUAGUGCGAAGUGAAAUCCCACGGCUCAACCGUGGAACUGCUUCGCAUACUGGCAUGCUAGAGGACGGAAGAGGAGAGCGGAACUCUUGGAGGAGCGGUGAAAUGCGUAGAUAUCAAGAGGAACACCAAAGGCGAAGGCAGCUCUCUGGUCCGUUUCUGACGCUGAGGUGCGAAAGCCAGGGUAGCGAACGGGAUUAGAAACCCCAGUAGUCC